UGUGUCUUCAAAGUACCAAGAAGGAAAGGCAAAUUGAGUUUCAGCUGUAAAAGAGGGGCUAGAUGCUUUUAGAGAACCCCACAACUUGUAGAUCAAAUUUAUCCUUGCAGAGAACACAAUACUGCAAAAAACCAGUAACUUGUAACAACAUUGCUUUUGUGGAUGUUUUUAAGAUGCAAGUCUUUGUGCUGUAAUUCUUAUGUAACAAAUCUAACUCAGACUGGAAGAUUUUUUUUUCUGAUUUUAGACAAACAGAUUUUCUAUACUGAAGGUGAGAGAAAAAUAUUUUAACAUGUUUGUUUAUAAGCAAUGCUGUGUUUUUUAAAUUCUAUAAAGUUAAGAUAUCACCAUUUGUGCAGAGUUUAUCCUAUUCGUCCUUGUUUCACAGUAGUGCAUUUGGUAACAAAGAGAAAACUUGUACAGACCUCAUACUCCUUGUCUUGUCCAUGCCAAUCUUGUGGCAUUGUCAUAGACAAUGACAUCUUGUGUAUCUCCAUCUCGUUCUGUGUUUUCCCACUGUGCAGAUAACGACUGGCCUCCACUGGGAUUGAUUUACACAUGAAAUGUUUAUUCUAAUUAUUUUCCUGUUCUUAAUUAUGCAGCAUCACUGUGCCUGGCCAGCAGCAAGACCUGGUGAAAACUUCAGAGCUUUGGGCCUGGUGUAUUUCUGCUUCUUGUGUCAGCCCUCCCGGGUAGUGGCAGGAAACAGUAUCUCCCAAACCUGUCAAAUCUAUCACUCUUCGAGUUCAAAUGUUGACAGGCCUUGGUAAAGAGCACUUCAAACAGAUCUGUUCUCUGUCACUGCCAUGACAGUAAUACAUGAAUCCACAAUCACAAUGAUUUUAGAAACAGACAGACAACAUGAACUAUAAAAGCCUGAUCCUGUUAGAGCUUUCUGGGAUGAGUAUUAUAAAGGGAAUGUUUCUGCACUAACAUUUUGGGACUAUUGCACGUCUCUGAUCCUGAAUCUCUUGUUUCUUUUGGAUGUCUUGAUUCCUUAUCUUGACUCUUCAAAUAUUCUCCAUUUUUCUUGUGCCUACCUCAGACUUCUUGCUAGAGUUUCAGAGCCUUUUACUGAAAAUGUUGCCACGUUGUGUCUAGAUAUCCAAUACUGUGAUCAAUUGCUACUCCCCCUCCACCGAGCUGAAUGCCAGAGUCACAACAGAUGUCUGAGAAAAGGCAACAUCGUUUAUUAUCUCACUGGACAUUAAAGAUAGAACCAUAUUUAUUGUAAGAAGAAUUUGGUGGCAGAAGAAGCCCUUGAAUGCUAAUAACAUCCCAUGACAAAUCUGUGCUAGAGAUUAGUGAUGCCAACAAUAUCUGUGAGCAUGGAUGGCCAGCUGCAUGUGUAAUUUCUGGUUUGACUGUGUAGUGAUGCACUUGAAGCACUUGCUAAGUCAAAAAAAUGUAGGGUUUUUUCCAUUCUCUGGUCCUUCGUACACUGUUCCUAAUAGGCAUAGCCUAAACUUCUGUGCUGUGUUUUGAUCCAGAGUCCUGAAUAUUUCUAGUGUAAAGAGUGUUCACAAGUGUUGAAAGAUGAAAUUUAUGAUUCACAUAUGACCAAAGGAAGCAAGUUCCUAUUUGGGUCAGGAAGAACUGUCUUGCUAUUCACCGUCUCAUGGGCUCAGUGUUUACCACCUAAGCACCAGUGACUUACCAUAGUAGGCUCUGUGCAGAGGUUGGCACAUUUCUCUCUUCCUGUAUAAUGUGAACUUUUCACAAACAAGCUUAAAAGAGGCCUACAAACUCCCCUCUGUUGGAGGUGGGGAAGGAGAUUGGGAGCCAUGGGAACAGGUUCAGGGGAGAGGACAGAGAAAAGGAACUGCAGAAGCCCACAGGGAUCUUCCCCAGAAGGGAUGGUAUCUCCAACUGCCCUUGUGGAGUGAGUUUUUCAGUUUAGAGCACAAUGUCUGGUGAAAGACAAACUGUUCUGUGAUUGCUGGACAAUCAAAAGACAGGGUUGAGAGAAUUUACUGCAGAGGAGUUUAUUCUUUUGACUUGUGAGAGAAAUCCUGGGGUCUGAAGAAAAUUACUGUGGAGCCAAACAGGAGGACAAGUCUACAGGCUGCCCUGGUCACAUGCCAAGAUGAAUAGAAGGAGAGAAGACUUAUUUUACUGAUGGAAGCAGGGGUUGGAUAGAUGAGCUCUCUUUGCUUUCUCCAGUAAGAGAUGAAGACAUAAAGUUGAAAUGAGCUGCCCAGGUUUGUGCUGCAGAUUGCCAAAGGACAAAAUCUUAUGCUUCUGAGCUCAGCAAUGAAGUUUUAAUCACCCCAACAUACAUCUUUCCACAAUAUAUAUUUUUCUGUCUGCCGAAGACAUAAUGGCUGCUCCUUUUAUGGGAAACCAGGAUUUAAUCCAAGGUCUGAUUUAAAAGUCCUGCUGCUGUUUGUUAUAGUAACAGCUUCUCAAUAGCAAGGAGUUAAGGCAAACAAAAUGACAGAAUCGGAGACCAUCCAAUGUCCUGCUCUGAUGAGUCAUAAUGAUUUUAUCACUUAAAUAUAGAAAAACUGUUUAGAGUCUGGGUAGGUCACAACUUUCAAGCAGGACUAAAAGUGGGAAUUUGUCCUGUAUUUUAAGGCCAUGAUCCCCAAAGAUGUUUCUUUUGGGUGGUGUUCUAAGCUUUCUAUAAACUUGAUUGACUGGAAGCAGUCCUCAAACAACUAAAGGCUGCUCACUAGAGACCACAGAGCACUGCUCAUAAUACCCCUGCUAGAAUAGAUCAGUAGGUACUAAUACAAAAGUCUAUUUGCACACUAUCAAGCACAGCUAAAACAGCUUGUUCACAGGUUGUCUGUCCUGUAUCUCCAUGUGGACUGGGAGGAGGUAGGUCAGGAAAGCAUCCGAUCCUCCCAGAAGUUAGGACUGCUCUUAGUGAGUGGUCCCUGACCUACACACUGAAGAAGAAUCAAAGUAAGACUGAAAUUAGGCUCACUUUCACAUUUUAACAUCAGAUCAUGGACAAUUAGUAUGUGCUGCAGAGAAAUUCUGACUGGCAGGAAGAUUAGAACAAAUUCUUAUUUAAGAAAAG